rnacentral:misc_RNA from 1 species
GAUGAAGAACGUAGCGAAAUGCGAUAAGUAGUGUGAAUUGCAGAAUUCCGUGAAUCAUCGAAUCUUUGAACGCACAUUGCGCCUUCUGGUAUUCCGGAAGGCAUGCCUGUUCGAGAGUCAUUAACAACCGUUUCGAUCCCUUUCUUUCAGAAAUUACAAAGAGGAAAAGGGUUUGGUUAUGGUGGAGGAGGGAAAGGGAGCGUUUAGCCUGUAAAAAAAGAGGCUGUGUUCCGCCUCCCCCCCAAAAUUGUACAGGCGGUCGUGUGCGCCCACGCAUCGAGGUGUUGUAAAAGCUGCCACGGCACUUUUCACCUGUGCAGUGCGAGAUUGGCCAGCCGGUUUAAAAACCCCUCCAAACAAUCAAAGGUUGACCUCGGAUCAGGUAGGGAUACCCGCUGAACUUAAGCAUAUCAAUAAGCGAGG